AAACCAUGAUAAUGAUUGUGCUCAAAUGAAGUUAGGGUUCUUUAUAAUCAUCUGAUUAUAAGGCGACGCAAUAGCGCUUCUGAGCUU